ACUCUUAUUCAUGACAGUUUUAAAAGGCACCCAUACCAAUGUUUCCACAGAUAUGAUUGAUAUCUGACCGAGCUACACCUGGGACUCGUGAUCAUCAUUAUAAUACAAUUUUGUGACUCAUCAAGUCGAGACAUAAACUUAACCAUCAGGUUCCUCAAUAGAGCCUGUAAAGUGCUUAGCCCUGAGUCAACAAAGAGCUUACUAGCACUGCUACACCUGGGCUUUUUCAGCAGUAUCCUCAGACAGUCAUUAUAUGCUACCUGAAGUUUGCGCAGGGUUUCCUUUUUGUAGCUGCCCCAUAAAGGGGCUGCAUACAUGGGGGUGCAGUAAGCACGAAACAAGCUCACUUUCACAUCAUCAGAACAGCAGUGGAACUUCCUGACCAACAUGUUUGCCUGGACAUACAACAUUCGUCUCUGCCUGUACAUGUCAGCAUCAUCUUCCAUCUUGUCAGUGAUGAUGUGCCCAAGAUAUUUCGUACAGUUGGAUACACAGAGGGAUUGCCCUGACAGGGCUACACCUGAUGAGCCCCUGUUUGCCAGUGACAAAGUCGGCAAGGCCAUGACCAGAUCAUGGUUCACGCACGUGUUUUGGGGAUCUGAAUGAAGGUUUCGAGCUGCUUCCUGAUGAUUCUCCAUCCGAGGAGCCCUGCACCGAUGGGGUCGGUGGAAUUCGGGGCGCCGAGUCAGGCGCAGUUCCCGUUUGGCCUUGUCGGCCAACAAAGGACUGUCCGUUGUACAACAUGGGUUUCGGCCACUAGGAGCUGUUUGUUCCUCGAGUGUGGCGAGACCGUUCCAUCCGCUCCCCUGCAUGCUGCCCGGGGAAGGCUCCGGCGAAGGGCGGCUCCGUUUCCCGUGCUGCUGUUGUGCUGUUCAAAAGGGGGCUCGCGUUCAGGAGCCGACCACGAGCACUCGCGGCAUAUCUGGCAUAUCCGAGGAGCGACAUUUGCAGGGUGCACCGUUUUGAGUCCCGCAAGCUGCAACCGUGUCCAUCAAAGCAUUGGUGGCAGGGGUCCAGGUGUACGUUCGGUGUGCGGAUCCUUCAUCAUGCAGCCUUCUGGGGAGCCCGUCUCGUAAUGAGCGGUGCACGGAAGCAGCGGGCGAAAGCAGACAAACAUCUUCCUAACACUCCACCUUUACUGCACAAACUACCACUGAGACAGGGGUGCUUCGUGCUAAGUCGACACCCUGCUCGAUAGUGUUUCUCAGGUUCUGCGGUGUAAAGGUCCCCCACUAUGAUAGUCCACACUAACUACCUUUUGUCCCCUCUCCUUCAUGCGCCAGUACCUGCUGUACUACCCCGGGCGACACCUGAUGAGCCCCUGUUUACCAGUGACGCAGCCGGCAAGGCCACGACCAGAUCGUGGCUCAUGCAACUCCACUAAAAUCUGUGCGAGUGCUAUGGCCUGUCCUCGGAGCCGUAUACGGCAUAUUCCUUCCGGAUCGGGGCGGCUGCUUCUGCUGUCCACGUCCGCGCUGGACGUCGUGGAAGCGCAGAACUCAUGAGCGCUUGAGAACAGAGACCGGGACCGUGUCGGGUGAUUCUUGCAGCCAGUACACAAGAGGCUUGCAUUGGAUAGCGCUCUGCAACUAUCUACUGUAGGCCGAGCAGCCGCUCGAGAAGAGGCCGAGCAGGGCGCUCAGGCCGAGCAGGGCGCUCAGGCCGAGCAGGGCGCUCAGGCCGAGCAGCGCGCUCAGGCCGAGCAGGUCUGAGACCUCCGGUGAUCAAUGUGGUCCGCAUGUAUCUUGUGGUUGGGUGGCUUCAUACAUUGCAAUGGUAGUAUGUCUCUUCGGAUCUCCAUGCAGCCGUGGUGAUCCGCAGACGUCCUUUGAUGCGAUACGUCACCAUCAGAAUCCAGUGUCUACAUGGGGACGUCCGUCCAGAUGCCCUGGGAACAGCGGGUGCACCGCUGAUUUGUCUCACACAUAGUUUUGUUGCUAGUAACAGUGGCGCGACGCUCCACUCUACACAUAGUAUAGACUGGCGGAGUGUCUGUGUUUUGGGGAUUUAACUUGUUGCUCCCUGCCUCAUGUCAUGCAUGCUGUAGUGA